AACGAGGUGGCCCAGCUAGGAUUAGGGCGCUAGGCUCAUAACCUGGAAGUCGCCGGUUCAAAUCCGGCCCUCGUUACCA
rnacentral:tRNA from 1 species